UGCUCCCAGAGUUGCCGAUUGCUGAUCUGCCUGAAGAUUCUACCGAGUUCCUGAGCUGCAACCCGGCACGUCUAGUGUCAAUACUUCGUCCGCCCAAGCCUCGCGUGUUGGCACAGACCAUGUAGACACCGUUCCCUUUAUGACUGAAGAAAGUAGCGAACGCCGGAAAACGUGCG
rnacentral:lncRNA from 1 species